rnacentral:rRNA from 1 species
CGUGGGUAACCUGCCCAAGAGACUGGGAUAACACCUGGAAACAGAUGCUAAUACCGGAUAACAACACUAGACGCAUGUCUAGAGUUUAAAAGAUGGUUCUGCUAUCACUCUUGGAUGGACCUGCGGUGCAUUAGCUAGUUGGUAAGGUAACGGCUUACCAAGGCAAUGAUGCAUAGCCGAGUUGAGAGACUGAUCGGCCACAUUGGGACUGAGACACGGUCCAAACUCCUACGGGAGGCAGCAGCU